UCCACAAACAGGUAUGGAGCACAGAGAGC
rnacentral:piRNA from 1 species